rnacentral:tRNA from 1 species
GCGGGCGUGGCGAAAUGGUAAACGCGGGGGUCUUAAACACCCUUGCUUCGGCUUGUCGGUUCGAGUCCGACCGCCCGCACCA